UCCAGAAUUGUGGAGAAGGAUGGCUGGCUUGUGGGGCUCUGCCGAUAGUUGUCCACCACCGGAUUGUGUGUAUCCAAGAGCAGUCCAGACAGAAUGCCCACUUCACAAGCUGCCGGCUCCCGGUGUCGUUGGACUUGCACCCACUUCUUUCCUGACCUGGUGCAGUUCGUUACUGCAGAAUCGUUCGAGGCCGUGCUACUACCCGUGUAGCAGAGAUUAUGUGGAGACCCAGACUCAUCAGUGCGCUCUGUCAUAGCUGGUGCAGUCAUUCAGGUAAUAAAAACAAUAAGGGGCCACGGCAUCAUUGGAUGGCCAUGCCUCUUGCUGACCCAGACUUGCAAGCUGCUCACGGAGGGUCUCCUGGCAGAGAGUCUGUCGGGCCUGGUGCAGGCCCUGUCAGAAUCUCGUAACCGCUGUUCUCCCGGCUGUUGUGGCUGAGACAGGUGCUGCACGGU
rnacentral:lncRNA from 1 species